GACGUAGGGCGCGAGCGUUGUCCGGAUUUAUUGGGCGUAAAGAGCUCGUAGGCGGCUUGUUGCGUCGACCGUGAAAACCCGGGGCUCAACUUCGGGCUUGCGGUCGAUACGGGCGGGCUAGAGUUCGGUAGGGGAGACUGGAAUUCCUGGUGUAGCGGUGAAAUGCGCAGAUAUCAGGAGGAACACCGGUGGCGAAGGCGGGUCUCUGGGCCGAUACUGACGCUGAGGCGCGAAGGCGUGGGGAGCGAACGGG
rnacentral:rRNA from 1 species